UGUGUUCUACCUGUAGUAAAACUGCUGUUAUGCUUUUGGAAUGCAGAAUUACUCCAGACGUGAUAGAAGCAGACCUGUCUGCAACACCACCUGCAAAACGGGCGAAGACGAUGCACAAGAAGAAAGCAGGCGAAAACAGUCGAGCCUGUGGGAUCAUCGUUCCUCCAGCUGCCGAGAGAUAGCCGCCCUUCCCAAUCUUCGCUGUCAGUGGAUCGAGC